rnacentral:rRNA from 1 species
UGCCAGCCGCCGCGGUAACACGUAGGGGGCGAGCGUUAUUCGGAAUUAUUGGGCGUAAAGCGUGCGUAGGUGGUUACUUAAGUCAGAUGUGAAAGCCCAGGGCUUAACCUUGGAAUUGCAUCUGAUACUGGCAAACUUGAGACUGUCAGAGGCAAGUGGAAUUCCCGGUGUAGUGGUGAAAUGCGUAGAUAUCGGGAGGAACACCAGUGGCGAAGGCGGCUUCCUGGAUUCAUACUGACGCUGAGGCACGAAAGCAUGGGGAGCAAACAGGAUUAGAUA